rnacentral:rRNA from 1 species
UACAGAGGUGGCAAGCGUUGUUCGGAAUUACUGGGCGUAAAGGGCGCGUAGGCGGCUUGGUCAGUCCCGUGUGAAAUCCCCCGGCUCAACUGAGGAACUGCACGGGAAACUGCCUGGCUUGAGUUCGGGAGAGGGAAGCGGAAUUCCGGGUGUAGCGGUGAAAUGCGUAGAUAUCCGGAGGAACACCGGUGGCGAAGGCGGCUUCCUGGACCGACACUGACGCUGAGGCGCGAAAGCUAGGGGAGCAAACGGG